rnacentral:lncRNA from 1 species
CCAGGCAGGAAGUAACAUAGCAGGCCAACUCAGAAUAUAAGCAGGAAAUCGCUCUCUUCCUCUUCUAACUGCUCUCUUCUGUACGGAGCUGCCAUGUGAUCCCAGAAAGAGAAUACCAGCAGAAGGCAUCCACAAUAAGAUAAGUCUUAUAAAAUAUACAGAUUUAUGAUAAUUAAGUAUGAGAUAAAGUAUAAGAAAUCCUAGUCAAUUGGCCAGCAGAAUUUGAAACUAAUAUAAAUCUCUGUCUGUUAUUUGGGGCCCUAACACAGCAGAUGGCACUCGGGGGGCUGGAGGAAAGACUUAUCAUUACAGAGAUGGAUGCUUUCUACUAUUUUAUAAGAAGACAGCAGAGAACCAAUCAAGAUGGAGAAGAGACAUGGAUGACAAACAGGUUUUUUCCACAUUUUGCUGAAACCACCAUCUGCAUACUCUCAACUGCAGAUUUACCAGAUUGGUUAAUUUUACACUACUGGUUCAUCUCAACUGUGUCCAGCCACAUGUGAUUUACAGCUGUCAUAUGAAACAGUGCAACUUUACAGGUAUGAUGGUAUUUUAAGUGUUACUGAUUGGUGCUACUCACAAAGCACAAGAAACAUAUUGUA